CCUACGGGUGGCUGCAGUGAGGAAUAUUGGUCAAUGGGCGAGAGUCUGAACCAGCCAAGUAGCGUGAAUGAUGACUGCCCUAUGGGUUGUAAACUUCUUUUAUAUGGGAGUAAAAUGUUCCACGUGUGGGAUUUUGUAUGUACCAUAUGAAUAAGGAUCGGCUAAAUUCGUUCCAGCAGCCGCGGUAAUACGGAGGAUCCGAGCGUUAUCCGGAUUUGUUGGGUGUAAAGGGAGCGUAGGUGGAUUGUUAAGUCAGUUGUGAAAUCUUAGGGCUCAACCGGAAAAUUGCAGUUGAUACUGGCAGGCUUGAGUACAGGAGAGGGGGGCGGAAUUCGAGGUGUAGCGGUGAAAUGCUUAGAGAUCACGAAGAACUCCGAUUGCGAAGGCAGCUCACUGGACUGAAACUGACACUGAGGCGCGAAAGCGUGGGUAGCAAACAGGAUUAGAUACCCUAGUAGUC
rnacentral:rRNA from 1 species